AUUGAACGCUGGCGGCAGGCUUAACACAUGCAAGUCGAACGAGUGGCGGACGGGUGAGUAAUGCUUGGGAAUCUAGCUUAUGGAGGGGGAUAACUACGGGAAACGGUAGCUAAUACCGCAUACCAUCAGAUGUGCCCAGAUGGGAUUAGCUAGUAGGUGGGGUAACGGCUCACCUAGGCGCCGAUCCCUAGCUGGUCUGAGAGGAUGACCAGCCACACUGGAACUGAGACACGGUCCAGACUCCUACGGGAGGCAGCAGUGGGGAAUAUUGCACAAUGGGCGCAAGCCUGAUGCAGCCAUGCCGCGUGUGUGAAGAAGGCCUUCGGGUUGUAAAGCACUUUCAGCGGGGAGGCGUUACCCGCAGAAGAAGCACCGGCUAACUCCGUGCCAGCCGCCGCGGUAAUAC
rnacentral:rRNA from 1 species